rnacentral:rRNA from 1 species
AAAUACAACUUUCAGCAACGGAUCUCUUGGCUCUCGCAUCGAUGAAGGACGCAGCGAAUCGCGGUAAGUAAUGUGAAUUGCAGAUUUUCCGUGAAUCAUCGAAUCUUUGAACGCACCUUGCGCUCCUUGGUAUUCCGAGGAGCAUGCCUGUUUGAGUGUCAUUG